rnacentral:lncRNA from 1 species
GGAGACUGCAUAGGGUGUGACUAUCAGGAACCAUGGCUCACUGGAGCACCAUCUUUGGAGUCUAGCUAACACAGCAUCUUGGAUGCACUCCUAAGAGAAGACUACCUGAAAGGCGUGUACACUGGUCUAGCAGUUGAGAUCAGCUAGUGUUCCAUCUAUCUUCUGUCAUGUAUCUCUUCUAAGAUGUCUUGAUCGACUGACCCCAAAGCCAGAGGGUACCAGGUCAAAAAGCAAGAAAACAAACAAUACUGACAUUAGAGAGAAGCAAAGUUUCUAUAGAAAACCUAUUACACUGUGGUAUAAAUCAAGAUGAACCUGCAGACAUCUAUUUUAGUUUGGAAGUCUGGAAAAGUUCAAGAUUGGCCAUCUGCAGCUGGUGAGAGCCUCAGGCUGCUUCCCCUCAUGGUGGAAGGUGAAGGGGAGCUGGUGUGUGCAGAGAUUACAUGAACCAAUGGCUCUACCCAACAUAUUCUUCUCACCACAGAUGACAAAGACACAAGGAGCCAAGACAGAUCAUUCAAGCAUAUUCAUUGCCUCUAUCUUCAUCCCAUUAAAUAACAUCCCGCCAACCAAAGCAAGUUAUCUGCAUAAGAAUAAAUAUUCCACCUACUCUACUGCAAGGCCCUGCAAGAGUCAUGAGACAAAAGGAUCCUCUGUGGACAGCACCCAAGAUGGAAACAACUGACAGUCUAUGGCCAGGGCUAUACUCUGGUGAAACUGAAAGGUGUCUGCAUGGAAGUGUCUGACUACCACCAUCCACUCAGGCAAAUGCAUUUGUUUCCCUCUAUUCAUUAUUAGAAGAGAGGAGAUUACAUACCAGACAUAUACCAAUAGAGAUGGGGUUUCAUCAUGUUGACCAGGCUGGUCUUGCCCUCCCGACCACAGGUGAUCUGCCCGCCUGAGCCUCCCAAAGUGCUGGGAUUACAGGCAUGAGCCACCACGCCUGUCCAAAACUUCUUGACUUAAUAAAGAAAGAAAGAAAGAAAAAAAAAAAAAAUCCUGUGCAGAGGUUGCUAAGAACCUUGGUAAGAAUCUUCUAUCUAUAAAAUUGUGAAGAAGAAUAAAAAAA